UACAGGGGGGGCAAGCGUUGUUCGGAAUUACUGGGCGUAAAGGGCUCGUAGGCGGCCAACUAAGUCCGACGUGAAAUCCCAAAGCUUAACUUUGGAACUGCGUCGGAUACUGGAUGGCUUGAAUUCGGGAGAGGGAUGCAGAAUUCCAGGUGUAGCGGUGAAAUGCGUAGAUAUCUGGAGGAACACCGGUGGCGAAGGCGGCAUCCUGGACCGGCAUUGACGCUGAGGAGCGAAAGCCAGGGGAGCAAACGGG
rnacentral:rRNA from 1 species